rnacentral:rRNA from 1 species
AUGGCUUACUAUUCAGAUCAUCAGGCUUAUGCGAGCAACACUACAAACAGCACGGAAAGUGUUCAAGAACUGAUAGGUAAGAUUUCCCAUCGAUUAGAUGAUUUAGCUCGGCAGCGAGAAGGAGUUUUUGAGGAUAGGCCUAGUUCUUACGAUCCUUAUUCCAGAGGCCAUCCUUAUGUUGCUCCUACUUGCCAUAUUUGUGGAUUUCAGGGCCAUUCGCCCGCUGAAUGUCAGCGUGGCUACUCUCACACUCCGGAUUGUUUUGGCAUGAGCUUCGCUCAAGAGCAUAGCUCAUACCAGAACAAUUACUCACAUGGGUGGCCUGAAAUCCCGAAUAUGUCAUAUAGGAGCAACAACCCUGAGAUCUCACAGUUUGGUUCUAGUAAUCAUAUGCAGGGAUUCAGGUACAAUGAGGAGAACCACAACUAUGCUCCACAACAGAUUUAUUCACCUCCUACUCAUAUACCUCAAUACCAGGAGAUGUGUCCAAUGGAGUUAAAUGGUCCUCCAUUUGGUCAACCAACAACUCCAGCACCUUUCGAGCAAUCUCAUGUGCAAGUGCCCACACAAGAUGAGUUCGAUGACAUAGACAAGCUCACGCUUUUGAGUCUCGAGUUCACUUGGAGUGCCGAGGAUGAUCCUAUUAGGAAGGUUAUACUAGAGGAAAUGAAGAAGAUUAAGAGUGGAAAGGAGCUAGUGGAAGAAGUAAGGAAGAUUGAGAAGAACAUCAACGCUGGCAGCACUAUUUCUUCACAACUUGAGUUGAGUGUGGCUGAGAUAUCCAUGGAUACAUGUGAGGUUCCAACACCUUCACAUUUCAUUGAGCAAGUUAACAAGUGCCUUGAGCAAGAGAUACCUCAGAUUGAAGAAGAUGAACUAGAAGACAAGGAACAAGAUGGUCAAGAGCUGCAAUUCCCAAGUGAUCAAGUUGAAGACUCAUCAUCUAUUACUCCUGAAGAAGUACAAGAAGCUGGUGUAGAUGAAGAUGAAGAACAUGAGAUUCAUUUGCCUAUUGUCAUACCAGAGUGUGAUGUGUCAGGUUCGAGGUGA